AGAACGAACGCUGGCGGCAGGCUUAACACAUGCAAGUCGAACGCGUGUAGCAAUACACGAGUGGCGCACGGGUGAGUAACGCGUGGAUAUCUGCCUUUUGGUUCGGAAUAACCCCGGGAAACUGGGGCUAAUACCGGAUGGUUCCUACGGGAUAAAGAUUUAUCGCCAAAAAGAUGAGUCCGCGUACGAUUAGCUAGUUGGUGAGGUAAUGGCUCACCAAGGCGACGAUCGUUAGCUGGUCUGAGAGGACGAUCAGCCACACUGGGACUGAGACACGGCCCAGACUCCUACGGGUGGCAGCAGUCGAGAAUUUUCUCAAUGGGGGAAACCCUGAAGGAGCGACGCCGCGUGGAGGAUGAAGGUCUUCGGAUUGUAAACUCCUGUCAUUGGGGAACAAGUCGCUUACGUUAACUGCGUGAGCGUUGAUAGUACCCGAAGAGGAAGAGACGGCUAACUCUGUGCCAGCAGCCGC
rnacentral:rRNA from 1 species